CGGGUGAGUAACGCGUGAGGAGCCUGCCUCAAAGAGGGGGACAACAGUUGGAGACGACUGCUAAUACCGCAUAAGCCCACGGGUCGGCAUCGACCUGAGGGAAAAGGAGCAAUCCGCUUUGAGAUGGCCUCGCGUCCGAUUAGCUAGUUGGUGAGGUAAUGGCCCACCAAGGCGACGAUCGGUAGCCGGACUGAGAGGUUGAACGGCCACAUUGGGACUGAGACACGGCCCAG
rnacentral:rRNA from 1 species